UACGUAGGGGGCAAGCGUUGUUCGGAAUUACUGGGCGUAAAGGGCGCGUAGGCGGCAUGACAAGUCACUUGUGAAAUCUCCGGGCUUAACUCGGAACGGUCAAGUGAUACUGUCGCGCUAGAGUGCGGAAGGGGCAAUCAGAAUUCUUGGUGUAGCGGUGAAAUGCGUAGAUAUCAAGAGGAAUACCUGAGGUGAAGACGGGUUGCUAGGCCGACACUGACGCUGAAGCGCGAAAGCCAGGGGAGCAAACGGG
rnacentral:rRNA from 1 species